rnacentral:rRNA from 1 species
CUAUACAUGACUCUGCGCAUAUCAAUAAGCGGAGGAAAAGAAACUAACAAGGAUUCCCUUAGUAACGGCGAGUGAAGCGGGAAGAGCUCAAAUUUGAAAUCUUCAAGGUUCUACCUUGACGAAUUGUAGUUUAUAAGAAGUGUUUUCUGUUUGAAGUGGCUAAAAGUUCUUUGGAAUAGGACAUCAUAGAGGGUGAGAAUCCCGUAUUUGACCAUUACUUUCCAGCUGUGUGAUACACUUUCAAAGAGUCGGAUUGUUUGGGAAUGCAGUCCAAAAUGGGUGGUAAAUUUCAUCUAAAGCUAAAUAUUGGCGAGAGACCGAUAGCGAACAAGUACCGUGAGGGAAAGAUGAAAAGAACUUUGAAAAGAGAGUUAAACAGUACGUGAAAUUGUCAAAAGGGAAGCGUUUGACACCAGUGUUGUUUUUCCGAAAAUCAAUUACGAAUGUUUUGUUUUUGAGGAGUUAUGACUUCAUCGGCUUGCUUCUCUCUUUACGAAACUUUCUUAAUGCACUUUUCGGUUAACAAGUCAACAUCAAUUUCUUUUGUUGUAAAAGGGUAUGAGGAAGGUGGCUUUCUUUUCGGAGAAAGUGUUUAUAGCCUUGUGCCUCUGCAAUCGGAGAGAUUGAGGUCUGCAGCGUAGAUCCUUCGGGGUUAGAUACGUUUGUGCUAAGUUAUAGCUUUUCAUAGACAACUUGUUGACUAUGUUUAGUCUUGUAGCUUACUCGCUUAUGCUAUUUUACCUACGCUUAGGAUGUUGACGAUCAGCUGAGCGCG